AAAUUGAAGAGUUUGAUCAUGGCUCAGAUUGAACGCUGGCGGCAGGCCUAACACAUGCAAGUCGAACGGUAACACAGAGAGCUUGCUCUCGGGUGACGAGUGGCGGACGGGUGAGUAAUGUCUGGGAAACUGCCUGAUGGAGGGGGAUAACUACUGGAAACGGUGGCUAAUACCGCAUAA
rnacentral:rRNA from 1 species